CACAGGGAGAGAAGGAGAAGCUGAUAUUGGGAAGGGGAAAGGAGAGUCGAGGCUAUGGAGAGGAGCCGCUGUGGGCGAGCAUCGCCUGCAGCCGAAGUAGCUCUGGUUCGGUCUCCGAGGGGUCCAGGGAGGGAUGCCAAAGUGGCUCAAGUGCUAUGCGCGGCUCAUGGAUACAGUGCCGGUGCUGGGUGCAGGAGGCAAAUAAGCCAUUACCUUGUCCGAUGCGUCCAUAUAAGACUUUGCCUGCCGCUCUCCUCCCUCUGCCCGCCGCUCUCCUCCCUCUGCCCGCUAUCCAGUAUGUGAUGUGGGUGACAAUGUUUCACGUUUUCACCAAGUCCCCGGCCGCAUCCUGGGUGGUCGGACCCGGGCAAACACAAAUACAAACCGAUUGCUAAGCUGCAGACAAUGGGGGAAAUGUAGACAAAUGUCCGGCUCCUGUUGGAAGCUUUUGUGCCGCUGCAGUUUUUGCAUUUAUUUCGGACCCCCAAAUAAUAGAUGAUUGACGCCCCGCGCACAAUGCUUUCUAACUGUUUGGAAUAAAUCUGAGCUUGUUCCUA